AUGGCGAGAGCCGGGCGCGGGGCCCCGCCCUCGCGGCGCCCAGAGGAGCGCGGGGCUGACGGGGCGGUGGACGGCAACCGAUCGGCUGCCCUGCGGCGCUGUGCGCGAGGCGGAAGGCUAGUGGAAGCCUCCUGCUGUCUGCCGCCUUACCUGCCUUCGAAAGAGGCCUCCAGGAGACACAGUUGCCAGGCCUGCCGUGCCCUCGGUACCCGGCUGCUCACACAAUCUCACUCCUGGGCACUGGGGCCAAGACCCCAGGACUCUGAGGGCACACCCUGCCCUGGUCUCUCUCUGGCUGUGGGGCCUGCCCUCUGGCCACACCUCCCUGUUAGCACUGAUGUACUGACCCUGGAGGACAGAUGGGAGAGGGGACGGAAGGCCAGCCCAUGGCUGCUCCCAGACCCCACCCAGGAUCCUGAGGCCUGGAAGGGGAGGGGGCUUCUAGAACUCCCAAGGGCUCCCAGGGGCCUCUGCCCAUUGCCCCGCCCUCCUUUUGCCCUCACUGAAGUGCCAGGACACGGCAGCUUUGUUAUCUGGGUAAUUAGCUUCAGACCCUGGACUGAGGCUGGCCAGGUCCUGGGCUGCUUCCCACAGGCUGUGCACCCUGACCCCAAGAGGGAGGUGAGGCCCUGCCCGCUGAGCAGCCAAGGUGCCAGGGCUCUUGAGAGGCAGGCUGCGGGCACCCACACUGCCCUUUCUGCCUGGGGUCCGUGUCCCUCAGGACUGCCUGGGCCUGGUCACAGCGUGGGGCCUUGUGACCUAGCCUCGCCAGGGGCAGGGGCCACCACCGAGCCUUAGGGAGGGGAUGCCCCCAAGGGUGCUGGUCCAGCCCGCUGCCCCACUCCUCAGGCCCAGUCUGGCCCCUGUGCUCCCCCAUCUGGUGCCCCGAGCAGCCCCCCUGGCAGGUAGCCCCCGCCAUGGCCGAGCACCUGGAGCUGCUGGCGGAGAUGCCAGUGGUGGCCAGGAUGAGCACGCAGGAGCGGCUGAAGCACGCCCAGAAGCGACGUGCCCAGCAGGUGAAGAUGUGGGCCCAGGCUGAGAAGGAGGCCCAGGGCAAGAAGGGCCCCCGGGAGCGGCCGUGGAAGGAGGCAGCCAGCGGCAGGCCGCAGAAGCGGGUCCUCUUCCCCCCCAGCGUCACCCUUCUGGAGGCCGCUGCCCGAAAUGACCUGGAAGAAGGUGAGCGUGGCUGAGCCCCAGGGCACAGUGCCAUCCUGUGGAGGCCCAGGGGCUGGCCUGGCGUUCUCAGUUGCACGCUGUCAGUGGUAGGCCGCCUGAGGCCGGCCUGCGGUGGGGCGGCACACACGGGGUGCUGCUGGGGGCAUGCGGCUGAUGGGCUGUUGGGCAUCGGGCAAGGCCUAGGAGCCUGGACGAGCAUCCAGGGCUUCGCUCAGGUGGGCUGGGAGUGGCCCGCAGUCUUCGCCGCCUCUUGCCAGGGUGCUGGGUGACCAUCAGGAGAGUCCUGGCCACCACCUGCUUGGGUCCUCAGUCUCCACCUCUGUAAAGGAGGGUGCCCACCUCAGCAGGUUAAAGCGCAGGGGCAGGGGUCUGCCGCAUGCCAGCCCCCCUGACGCCUGCCUCAGGCCCCGUCUCUGACUUCUUCCUCCCCAUCAGGACCUUCCUGGCUAAAUGACAGGCGUGAGCUUUCUUGGGCAGGCUCCUCGUUCCUCCCCUGUACCCUGUGUGCUCACAGCCCCUCUGUUCUCCCGGAGAGGCUCUGGAGGGCUCUCCCUGCCUUCCUCCAGGGCAGAGGCUGGGGUGCAGAGGGCAAGGAGGGGCGGGCAGUGCUUCAAGGCCCGGGAAGUAGUGGAGGGCAUGGUGGGUGCGCUGCAGGCAGGCCGUGGCAUAGGGGAGUGCGGGAAGGAGGGCGGUGUUGCCUGCGGAGCGCAGUCUGAGAGGGCCGGGCCAUCACGGAGGUCCGUGGUGACCUUGGCGACAGCCUGGGCCCACUGAACAAUGAGGACAGGGACUAGCUCUGCUGAGGGGAGACCCUGUAGGGGACAGGCCUGGAUGCCUUGGGCCUGCACUGCAAGCUGCAGCUGGGCAGGGAGCCUGCUUUAGGCUGGGGCACGUGUGGGGGUGGAGUGCUCUGCUGGUGGGAAAGGCUUGGGGGAGCACGAGACCCAGUGAGGGUAUUGCUGGGGGGGGGGUGCUGGAACCCUGGCCAGAAUGGGCGAGAUUGGAGCCCAGCGGAGACUGCCCGUACACAGGAGCCUGAGGGCUGGAGCAUCAGGGUUCAGGAGGGGUGGGUCUCACUUGGUGCUGGAGGCGGGGGCAUGCUGUGUGUGUGCACUUGGGGCAGGCAGAGCCCCAGUGCCCUGGCUGUUGAGCCCUCCGCCUGGGCUCGGGGGUCCCUCUGGCCCCUUGACCACUGUCCUCGUCGGCGUUCCCUGCUCCCAGCCGCAGGAUAGCAGUCAGUCCAGGAACCCUUAGGUACCCUGCACCCCGUCUAGAACAGUGUUGGCCUGUGGCCGGACCUCUCUCUACACCCUCAUCACACUCCCCCCUCCCCCUUCUUACAGUCCGUCAGCUCCUUGAGAAUGGGGUCAGCCCCGACCUGGCCAACGAGGAUGGCCUGACGGCCCUGCACCAGGUCAGCCAUUGCUUGGUGGGGUGGGUGGGCGAGGAGGGGGCUGUGGCACUCAGGCUCUGUGGUUUGUAGAGCUGCAUCGAUGACUUCCGGGACAUGGUGCAGCAGCUCCUGGAGGCUGGGGCCAAGGUCAAUGCCCGCGACAGCGAGAGCUGGACACCCCUGCACGCUGCGGCCACCUGUGGCCACCUGCACCUGGUGGAGCUGCUCAUUGCCCGGUAGGGCCCCGUCGGUGUGGCCAGACCGGGCGUCUGUGUCAGGCAGGGGCUACACUUGGGCCAGGAGAGGCCGGGCCUUCCUUGCAGAUGGUAGUUGUCCUGAGACACAGCCCAGGUGUCUCGUCUGAGGAAGCAGGCUUGGCCCUUGGCUUAUUGUGUUCCCACUCACUUUUGCUUACCCUGACCUCACCUGGGCAUGGAGCUCAGGGCCUUGGCAGAGCCUGCGGAUGCUGUGGCAGCAAGGGAACAAGCACGUACUCAGGGACGUGCGGUGGUUCCUGGGUGCGCCCUCCAGCCGAGCACCCUUAGGAGUUUAGGAGCUCCUUGACGGUGGGUCUCGACCUCUAGCUCUGCUCUCACUGGGGUCUGCACAGAGAC
ensembl:lncRNA